rnacentral:sRNA from 1 species
UUUAAUACAGUUCUUUGAAAGCCACUUGGUGUAGAUUGAUCUUGUCGCUGUUUGUUUACGUAAUGCUGGCAUUUUCCAUCUCAUUUCAGCUCUGACCACAAAGCGGAGCUCUCUGUCCUGGCUGCCCUCUCCCUCCUCAUAGUUUUUGUGCUGGUGCAGAGGGGGUGCUCCCCUGUGUCCAAGGCUGCCCUGGCGCUGGGGCUGCUGGGCGUCUACUGCUACCGGGCGGCCAUCGGGAGUGUCCGGUUCCCGUGGCGGCCGGACAGCAAGGACAUUUCCAAGGCAACUCCAACAACAUUGCCACCGUGGACAUCUCCGCAGGCUUCGUGGGCUUAGACACCUACGUGGAAAUCCCAGCCGUGCUCCUGACAGCGUUUGGGACGUACGCAGGGCCUGUGCUGUGGGCCAGCCACUUAGUGCACUUCCUGAGCUCAGAAACACGCAGCGGUUCAGCACUGAGUCAUGCUUGCUUCUGCUACGCACUGAUUUGUUCUAUUCCAGUUUCCACAUACAUCGUUUUGGUGACAUCUCUGCGUUAUCAUUUAUUUAUAUGGAGUGUAUUUUCUCCAAAACUUCUCUACGAGGGAAUGCAUCUGCUCAUUACAGCUGCUGUCUGUGUAUUCUUCACGGCAAUGGAUCAAACCAGACUCACACAGUC